rnacentral:rRNA from 1 species
GUCGAGGGAGAUUGUUGGAUUCGUCUGACAUGAAACCGGCGCACGGGUGCGUAACACGUAUGCAACCUACCUUUAACUGGGGUAUAGCUCAGAGAAAUCUGAAUUAAUCCCCCAUAAGACUACGACAUGGCAUCAUGAUGUAGUUAAAGCUCCGGCGGUUAAGGAUGGGCAUGCGGUACAUUAGCUAGUUGGUGAGGUAAUGGCUCACCAAGGCUACGAUGUAUAGGGGGUCUGAGAGGAUGAUCCCCCACACUGGUACUGAGACACGGACCAGACUCCUACGGGAGGCAGCAGUAGGGAAUAUUGGUCAAUGGACGCAAGUCUGAACCAGCCAUGCCGCGUGAAGGAUGAAGGCCCUAUGGGUCGUAAACUUCUUUUAUUAGGGAAGAAAAAAUGGGAUGCGUCCUAUACUGACGGUACUUAAUGAAUAAGGAUCGGCUAACUUCGUGCCAGCAGCCGCGGUAAGACGAAGGAUCCAAGCGUUGUCCGGAUUUACUGGGUUUAAAGGGUGCGUAGGCGGAAAAUUAAGUCAGUGGUGAAAGCCCGCAGCUCAACUGUGGAACUGCCAUUGAAACUGGUUUUCUUGAAUAUAGCUGAGGCAGAUGGAAUAUAACAUGUAGCGGUGAAAUGCUUAGAUAUGUUAUAGAACACCGAUUGCGAAGGCAGUCUGCUAAACUAUUAUUGACGCUGAGGCACGAAAGCGUGGGGAGCGAACAGGAUUAGAUACCCUGGUAGUCCACGCCCUAAACG